CGACCACAUCAGAAUUAAACACCGGUUACCCGUACGACCACCGAAGUUAAGCAACGUCGAGCUUGGUCAGUACCUACAUGGGUGACCGCUUGCGAAUACCCGGUAUUGUAAG